rnacentral:misc_RNA from 1 species
AAGUCGUAACAAGGUUUCCGUAGGUGAACCUGCGGAAGGAUCAUUACCACACCAACAAACACACAAAAAGUCCUGCGCUUUCGAGAGAAUUGCAGGCAACAACAUGAGGAAGCGCAGCGCGGUUCCGCGCUGCGUGAGGGAGUCGGGCAUGCUGACAUGAGUGGCCGGCUCUAGCGCCGUUCCCCACCAAGUAGUAUCGCACUACUCGGCGGGACCUCUGAGAACGGACUCGGUGCUUUCACCGAACCCUGUGCUUGAAAAGGAACCCAAAUGCAGUACAACUGCAAACGGUGGAUCACUCGGCUC